rnacentral:rRNA from 1 species
CCUACGGGGGGCAGCAGUGAGGAAUAUUGGUCAAUGGGCGCGAGCCUGAACCAGCCAAGUCGCGUGAGGGAAGACGGCCCUACGGGUUGUAAACCUCUUUUGCCGGGGAGCAACGGGCGCCACGUGUGGCGCCACUGAGAGUACCCGGAGAAAAAGCAUCGGUUAACUCCGCGCCAGCAGCCGCGGUAAUACGGAGGGUGCGAUCGUUAUCCGGUUUUAUUGGGUUUAAAGGAUGCGUAUGCGGACCGGUAAGUCAGUAGUCAGAUUUAGGGGCUCAACCCCUUCCCGCCAUUGAAACUGGCGCUCUUGGGUGGAAGAGAAGUAUGCGGAAGGCGGGGUGUAGCGGUGAAGUGCAUAGAUAUCACGCAGGACCCCG